rnacentral:rRNA from 1 species
ACUGCCGUGAAUACGUUCCCGGGCCUUGUACACACCGCCCGUCACACCAUGAGAGUUGGGAAUACCCGAAGCCUGUGAGCUAACUUUUAGAGGCAGCAGUCGAAGGUAGAAUCAAUGAUUGGGGUGAAGUCGUAACAAGGUACC